UACGGAGGGGGCCAGCGUUGUUCGGAAUUAUUGGGCGUAAAGAGCUCGUAGGUGGUUCGGUAAGUCGGGUGUUAAACCCCCAGGCUCAACCUGGGGACGCCACUCGAUACUGCUGUGACUUGAGUCCGGUAGGGGAGCGUGGAAUUCCUGGUGUAGCGGUGAAAUGCGCAGAUAUCAGGAGGAACACCAGCGGCGAAGGCGGCGCUCUGGGCCGGUACUGACACUGAGGAGCGAAAGCGUGGGUAGCAAACAGG
rnacentral:rRNA from 1 species